rnacentral:rRNA from 1 species
UACGUAGGUGGCAAGCGUUAUCCGGAAUUACUGGGCGUAAAGCGCACGCAGGCGGUCUUUUAAGUUUGACGUGAAAGCUCCCGGCUUAACUGGGAGAGGUCGUUGAAGACUGGAAGACUUGAGGCAAUGAGAGGGGUGUAGAAUUCCCGGUGUAGUGGUGGAAUGCGUAGAUAUCGGGGGGAAUACCAGUGGCGAAGGCGGCCUGCUGGGCUAUGGCUGACACUGAGGCGCGACAGCGUGGGGAGCAAACAGG